rnacentral:tRNA from 1 species
GGAGAGAUGUCCGAGUGGCUGAAGGAGCACGCUUGGAAAGCGUGUGUAUCAGAAAUGGUACCGUGGGUUCGAAUCCCACUCUCUCCG